rnacentral:rRNA from 1 species
UACGUAGGGUCGCAGCGUUGAUCGGAAUUACUGGGCGUAAAGAGCUCGUAGGUGGUUGUCGCGUUGUUCGUGAAAACUCACAGCUCAACUGUGGGCGUGCGGGCGAUACGGGCAGACUAGAGUACUGCAGGGGAGACUGGAAUUCCUGGUGUAGCGGUGGAAUGCGCAGAUAUCAGGAGGAACACCGGUGGCGAAGGCGGGUCUCUGGGCAGUAACUGACGCUGGAGGAAGCGAAAGCGUGGGGAGCAAACAGG